AAGUCUCAGUUCGGAUUGAAGGCUGAAAUUCGCCUUCAUGAAGCCGGAAUUGCUAGUAAUGGCAGGUCAGCAUACUGCCGUGAAUACGUUCCCGGGCCUUGUACACACCGCCCGUCACACCAUGAGAGUUGGGAAUACCCGAAGCCUGUGAGCUAACUUUUAGAGGCAGCAGUCGAAGGUAGAAUCAAUGAUUGGGGUGAAGUCGUAACAAGGUAAC
rnacentral:rRNA from 1 species